AUCCCAACAGCUCAGUGGUUAGAGCGCCGGUACGUCAAACCAGAGAGCUUGUGUUCGAUUCGCGAUUGGGACA